rnacentral:rRNA from 1 species
GGCGGAUCAGUCAGUCUNUCUUAAAAGUUCGGGGCUUAACCCCGUGAUGGGAUGGAAACUGCUGAUCUAGAGUAUNGGAGAGGAAAGUGGAAUUCCUAGUGUAGCGGUGAAAUGCGUAGAUAUUAGGAAGAACACCAGUGGCGAAGGCGACUUUCUGGACGAAAACUGACGCUGAGGCGCGAAAGCCAGGGGAGCGAACGGGAUUAGAUACCCCGGUAGUCCUGNCCGUAAACGAUGGGUACUAGGUGUAGGAGGUAUCGACCCNUUCUGUGCCGGAGUUAACGCAAUAAGUACCCCGCCUGGGGAGUACGACCGCAAGGUUGAAACUCAAAGGAAUUGACGGGGGCCCGCACAAGCGGUGGAGUAUGUGGUUUAAUUCGACGCAACGCGAAGAACCUUACCAGGUCUUGACAUUGAUGGACAGAACCAGAGAUGGUUCCUCUUCUUCGGAAGCCAGAAAACAGGUGGUGCACGGUUGUCGUCAGCUCGUGUCGUGAGAUGUUGGGUUAAGUCCCGCAACGAGCGCAACCCCUAUCUUAUGUUGCCAGCACUUUGGGUGGGGACUCAUGAGAGACUGCCGCAGACAAUGCGGAGGAAGGCGGGGAUGACGUCAAAUCAUCAUGCCCCUUAUGACCUGGGCUACACACGUACUACAAUGGGAGUUAAUAGACGGAAGCGAGAUCGCGAGAUGGAGCAAACCCGAGAAACACUCUCUCAGUUCGGAUCGUAGGCUGCAACUCGCCUACGUGAAGUCGGAAUCGCUAGUAAUCGCAGGUCAGCAUACUGCGGUGAAUACGUUCCCGGGCCUUGUNC